UGGGGAAUAUUGCACAAUGGGCGCAAGCCUGAUGCAGCCAUGCCGCGUGUGUGAAGAAGGCCUUCGGGUUGUAAAGCACUUUCAGCGGGGAGGAAGGCGAUAAGGUUAAUAACCUUGUCGAUUGACGUUACCCGCAGAAGAAGCACCGGCUAACUCCGUGCCAGCAGCCGCGGUAAUACGGAAGGUGCAAGCGUUAAUCGGAAUUACUGGGCGUAAAGCGCACGCAGGCGGUCUGUCAAGUCGGAUGUGAAAUCCCCGGGCUCAACCUGGGAACUGCAUUCGAAACUGGCAGGCUAGAGUCUUGUAGAGGGGGGUAGAAUUCCAGGUGUAGCGGUGAAAUGCGUAGAGAUCUGGAGGAAUACCGGUGGCGAAGGCGGCCCCCUGGACAGAGACUGACGCUCAGGUGCGAAAGCGUGGGGAGCAAACAGG
rnacentral:rRNA from 1 species